rnacentral:misc_RNA from 1 species
CCGAGUUAGGGUCGCCCCCGCGCGCCCGACCUCCAACCCUUUGUCUACCUGACCUACAUGUUGCUUCGGCAGGCCCGCCCGACCCCCCGCGAGGGGGGAAAGGCCGCCGGGGGUCUCACGACCCCGGGCCCGCGCCUGUCGACGGCCCCAACCACAAAACUCUUGUUAAAAACCGUGUCGUCUGAGUACCACAUUUUAAUCAAAUUA